rnacentral:rRNA from 1 species
CCUACGGGUGGCAGCAGUGAGGAAUAUUGGUCAAUGGGCGCUAGCCUGAACCAGCCAAGUAGCGUGAAGGAUGACUGCCCUAUGGGUUGUAAACUUCUUUUAUCUGGGAGUAAAGUGCAGUAUGUAUACUGCUUUGCAUGUACCUUAUUGAUAAGGAUCGGCUAACUCCGUGCCAGCCGCCGCGGUAAUACGGAGGAUCCGAGCGUUAUCCGGAUUUCUUGGGUUUAAAGGGAGCGUAGGGGGGUUGUUAAGUCAGUUGGUAAAGUUUGCGGCUCAACCGUAAAAUUGCAGUUGAUACUGGUAUUCUUGAGUACAGUAGAGGUAGGCGGAAUGCGUGGUGUAGCGGUGAAAUGCUUAGAUAUCACGAAGAACUCCGAUUGCGAAGGCAGCCUGCUGGACUGUAACUGACGCUGAUGCACGAAAGUGUGGGUAUCAAACAGGAUUAGAUACCCUAGUAGUC